GCGGGACCGCCGCCGGGUCCCCAAGAUGCCCAGAGCCAGCCCAUUGCCCACCACACCUGCCACAAACAUCAGCGUGCUGGUGGCCGGGCCUACCGAGUCCCGCACAUAGGCCCUGCUCUGGGAAAAGGGUGGUGCUGCUUCAUAACCUCCACCCAAGUGCCACCAGUUGCUGGCUCCUGCCAAGCCUGACCGUCGGGAUUGUCACCAGACCUUCCACUUCAUGAGAAGCUGGAAAUACAGACUUUUAAGUGAAGUACUCCUAUUUUUUGAUGUGGCAACCAAGUCAAGAACAUUUUUAAACAUUAUGUAGGCCAAAAGUGGAGAGCCAGAAAAUACAUAACUGCAGGCUAUGUAUGUCCUGCAGCCACCAUUGGGUGCAGUGGGAAAAAGGGCAGGACCCUGAGUUACCACCCAUCACGCCUGUGUUCCAGAGCAAAGAAAGUGUUGAA